rnacentral:lncRNA from 10 species
CAAGUAGCUGGGAUUACAGGCACGCGUCGACACACCAAGAUAAUUUUUGUAUUUUUAGUAGAGACGGGGUUUCCCCAUGUUGGCCAGGCUGGUCUCGAACUCCUGACCUCAGGUGAUCCGCCUGCCUCCACCUCCCAAAGUGCUGGGAUUACAGGCGUGAGCCACCGCACUCGGCCUAAAAAGGACAUCUUGAGGUGGGAAAUGGAGCCAAUCAGAGAAACAGGUGAAGUGGAGGCCUGUAUGGGAGGUUCCCCUGCUGUGGAAUUUUUCCAGCAGUUCAGCUGCUACAGGGCAGAGGCUGGAAAGAUGGCCCUGGGAUCUUCCCAGGUGAGAAGACGGAAGGAAAGAGGGGCCAGCAAAGGAGGGGCUGCAGGGGAGUGAGAGAACAGGGGUAGUGGGGGGGCCCAGGCUCCAUGGACCACGAUCACUGCGGGGAGGCACCUGCACCGCUUCUCCUUCCCAUCUGCAACCAGGAGCCAGCUACCGCCCCCUCCCCAUCUCCUGCCCCUCCUCACCUACUGUUUCCUUCCUCUCUCCCAAAGUGUUGGGAUUACAGGCGUGAGCCACCGCGCCCGGCCAGGAAACCUCCUCUCUGCCCUCGGUUUCUGUGAGGCUCCCAGUCCAGGUUUUCCUCCUGCCUCCCUCAAUUUCUCUAAUCUCUUUCAUAGGCUCCUGCACUGUCCCCUCCUUUUAUGCCACCAUCCCCCAGGGACCUUCCUUGGCCUUUUCUCUCCUCAUUUCACAGCCUUUCCCAGGCCUUCCCCUGCUCAGCCAGUAAUCUGUCUCCCAAACUCCUCACUCUCCAUAUUUCAGGCACAACAGUUGCCAACAGAGGUUCUCAAUGUGGCCUCCAUCAGAAUCACACGGAGGAUGAGUUCAGACUCAGGGGGCUGGGCCCAAUCCCCAGGCCUGCAGUAGGUCUGGAGUGGCUAGAAGUGUAAGAAUUUUUUUUUGGAGACACGCUCUCGUUAUGUUGCCCAGGCUGGUCUUGAACCCCUAGUUCAGGCGAUCAGCCUGCCUCAGCCACCCAAAGUGCUGGGAUUACAAGGGUGAGCCACGGAGUCCAGCCAAGAUAAUUUUUUUUUUACUUUUUUUUUUAAGUUCAAAAAAAUUCUUUACUUAUUAGGCUAAUUGUGCAAUUAAAAAAAAAAAAAAAUUGCAAAAACCGCAAUUACUUUUGCACCGAUCUAAUAGCUCGCCCACUGUAAGUAAAGCAGGUAAAGUCAGCCUUUUUCUUCUGGGACCAGACUCUGCUCUGCCCCGCGGUGGUGGCCUCAGGCGCAGCGCUAAAACGCAUGAACCAUUUAAGGUAUUUCCUGAAACUGGAGCGUGAUUGGUGAGACUUUAUUUGCAUACCCACAAUGCAUUGCGCACUAAAUAAUGUUCGUCUUUAAAAUUAUUUCCCCUUUUUCCUUCAACAUAUCUUUCUCGGAACCGAGAUUGCUGUCCCAGAAUUGUCUGAAGAAAAAGGCUGAAGUCAAUAGCUCUUUUGGGCCGAAGGAAAGUUACCAUUACCCGUUUAGGAGUAGCCGUUACCUGAGAACUGUAGUGUCGACGACUGAUGUUAUACUCUGGUUUCUCUUCAAAUCGUAUAAAUCUUUCGCCUUUUACUAAAGAUUUCCGUGGAGAGAAACGAGUGUGAGUCUGAAACCAAUUUUUUGAGGCCUUGCGUUUCUUAGCAGGGCUUAUUUUAAGUGUUUUAAAAACAGAUGCGAUUCCGUUAAAUCGCGUGUGGAGCUAUGUAAAGUGUAUUAUAGAACAAAUGCGAGUUACGGUUUUUCAGCUUUUCGCUUUGUUAAGAACUUCAAAGAGGAACCAGGAGUACGGGAAGAGCAUGAAAGUGGACAAGGAGCGUGACCAUGGAAGCACAGCACCACAGGGAGGGGUUUAGGCCUCCGGAUGACUGCGGGCAGGCCUGGAUAAUAUCCAGCCUCCCACAAGAAGCUGGUGGAGCAGAGUGUUCCCUGACUCCUCCAAGGAAACGGAGACUCCCUUUCACGGUUUGCUAAGUAACGGGUGCCUUCCCAGGCACUGGCAUUACCACUUGACCAAGGAGCCCUCAAGCGGCCCUGAUGCAGGUGUGACAGAGGGCUCACCUCUUGCCUUCUUGGUCACUUCUCACAAUGUCCCUUCAGCCCCUGUCCCUAUACCCGCCGGUUAUUCCUUGGUUAUACAACAAAGAGUAAUAUUAAAAGUUAAUGAUUAAUAAUGUUUAUACUAAUGAUUUAUAAUGUCCAUGAUCAUCUCUAUAUCUAAUUUGUAUUAUAACUAUUCUCAUUCUAACUAUUUUGUUUAUUAUACUGAAACAGUUUGUGCCUUCAGUCUCUUGCCUCGGCACCUGGGUAAUCCUCCGUCCACACUCGUCUGUCUCUCCUGCAGGCUGCAUUCGCUGAGGUGUGUCUGUGUUGUUCCCCUUUGAGUUCCAGUCAAAAAAGAUUCCUAGAGAGAAUUCGCUCUCACGCCAGGGCUAAGCUCCUCCCACCAGGUUCAUGAGCCUGGAAGUAAGUGCCGUCCACCAAUGUCCUGCCUGCUCUUCAGAGGCUCCUCAAGCCUUCCCUGCCCAGAGAGAUUCCGGGAUGAAAAGGAAAAACGUCCCUGCCUGGCAGAAAUUGAUGCUGCUUCUGGAAACGUAGGGCGGGUGGUUGUUUCCAAAAUGUGUCUGCCAUCACUUGAGCUAGUAGUGGGAGCAUCUAGUUUUGGAGCUGGACAGGCUUGGGAACGCAUCCCUGACUCCACAAAUUAUGUGACUUUGGCUUAAUGACUUAUCAUCUGGGAGCCUCACUUUCCUCAUCUGUAAAACAGGACUGACACUCACCUUGCAGGAAUACUGGAGGUCUGUACUGCGCUGCCAACAUCUAUUCGCCCUCAUCCGUGACAAGAGUACCCACAAUUUCCUCUGGGAAGCUGCUCCUCUCUGAUUAGUGUCUGUUCAGUGGUUGGAGGUUGACCCUACCCCAGCUCUGAGACGGCCUGGCCAGCCUAUCCUAAUUAGCAUAUCCCUUUCACCCUGGCCACAGUGAUUGACUUAGGGCUGGGCUGUGCAGAGGUGAGCCUCAGCUUUUUGGGUAGGAACACCAGGACUUGGAUUCCAGUGGGUUUAAUGCUAGGAGGGCAUCAAGCUUGUGAUAACUGUGGCCAUUUUUGUUACCAUAAGGGUAGCCAGUCUGAGGAUGGAAGCCAAUCUACAGGAAACAGAGCUAAGAGAUACUAAUGCAUCCCUAAAUCACUUGAGUCCUGGAUCAAACCGUUCCUGAAGCUCCUACUAAGCUACACUGUUAUGUGAACCAAUACUCUUCCUUUUGUUUAACCAGUUUUUGGUUUUGUGGGUUUUUUUGUUUGUUUUUGUUUUGUUUUGAUAUAGGAUCUUACUCUGUCACAUAGGCUGGAGUACAGUGGUAUGAUCUUGGCUCACUGCAACCUCCACCUCCUGGGCUCAAGCGAUCCUCCCACCUUAGCCUCCCAAGUAACUGGAAUCACAGGUGCACGCCACCACCAUGCUCAGCUAACUUUUAAAAUUUUCUGUAGAGACAAGGUCUCACUAUAUCACUCAGGCUGGUCUCGAAGUCUUGGGCUCAAGAGAUCCUCCUGUCUCAGCCUCCCAAAGUGCUGGGAUUACAGGUGUGAGCCACUGUGCUCAGUCAGAAUCUGGUUACUCCUGCACCAGAAAUACCCUAAGAUUUAUUUGGCCAGGCACGGUGGCUCACGCCUAUAAUCCCAGCAGUUUAGGAGGCUGAGGUGGGCGGAUCGAUUGAGCUCAGGAGUUUGAGACCAGCCUGGGCAACAUGGUGAAACCCCGUCUCUACAAGAUAUACAAAAAAAAUUAGCCAGGCUGAGUAGUCCCAGCUACUCAGGAGGCUGAGGUGGGAGGGUUGCUUGAGCCCAUAAGGCUGAGGCCGCAGUGAGCUGUGAUUGCACCACUGCACUCCAGCCUGGGCGACAGAGCGAGACCUUGUCUAAAAAAAAAAAAAAGAAGCAUCCACGGUCCUAUGACUCUCUGUAUUCUUGGUUUGUUAUCACCAGAGAAGAGUUCCAUUUCUCCGCUGGAAGGAUAUGCCCGUAUUGGUGUGUUCCGGCUGCUCUAACAAUAUACCGUAGACCGGGCAGCUUCAAAACAGCAGAAAUUGAUUUCUCCCAGUUCCAGAGACUGAAGUUCGAAAUCACAGUGCCAGCAUGGUUGGGUUCUAGUGGGGCCCCUCUUUCCGGUUGCAGACUGCUGUCUUCUCAUUGCAUUCUCAUAUGGCGGAAAGAGGGUGAGGCAGCUCUGUGGGGCCCCCUUAGAAGGGCCCUAAUCCCAUUCAUGAGGACUCUACCCUCAUGACCUAAGAACCCCCCUAAAAGCCCCACCUCCUAAUCCUAUCACAUUGGAAGUUAGGACAUCAACACAGGGGCCUGGUAUGAUGGCUCACACGUGUCAUCCCAGCACUCUGGGAGGCUGAGGCAGGUGGAAUACUUGAGCUCAGGAGCUUGAAACCAGCCUGGGCAACAUGGCAAAGCCCCAUCUCUACAAAAAAUACAAAAACUGGCCAGGUGUGGUAGUGCACACCUGCAGUCCCAGCUACUUGGGGAGCCGAGAUAGGAGGAUUGCCUGGGCCCA